CGCCCAUAGCUCCUUCGACGGCGCCGCCUAGGAACGCGGAGAAAAUAUGACAAAGGAACGGCCAAAAAUAAAAAGAAAGACCUUUCUUUUGAAAAAACAAACAAAUAAAAGGAAUGCAACACAAGGACUUCCCAGGAGGUCACCCAUCCUAGUACUACUCUCGCCCAAGCACGCUUAACUUCGGAGUUCUGAUGGGAUCCGGUGCUUUAGUGCUGGUAUGAUCGCAUCCGACAUACCGUGCGUUCUCCUCCCCUUUAUGCCCGCGCCUCCGUGUACGGCCCGCCCAUAGCUCCUUCGACGGCGCCGCCUAGGAACGCGGAGAAAAUAUGACAAAGGAACGGCCAAAAAUAAAAAGAAAGACCUUUCUUUUGAAAAAACAAACGCCUCCGUGUACGGCCCGCCCAUAGCUCCUUCGACGGCGCCGCCUAGGAACGCGGAGAAAAUAUGACAAAGGAACGGCCAAAAAUAAAAAGAAAGACCUUUCUUUUGAAAAAACAAACAAAAAAAAGGAAUGCAACACGAGGACUUCCCAGGAGGUCACCCAUCCUAGUACUACUCUCGCCCAAGCACGCUUAACUUCGGAGUUCUGAUGGGAUCCGGUGCUUUAGUGCUGGUAUGAUCGCAUCCGACAUACCGUGCGUUCUCCUCCCCUUUAUGCCCGCGCCUCCGUGUACGGCCCGCCCAUAGCUCCUUCGACGGCGCCGCCUAGGAACGCGGAGAAAAUAUGACAAAGGAACGGCCAAAAAUAAAAAGAAAGACCUUUCUUUUGAAAAAACAAACGCCUCCGUGUACGGCCCGCCCAUAGCUCCUUCGACGGCGCCGCCUAGGAACGCGGAGAAAAUAUGACAAAGGAACGGCCAAAAAUAAAAAGAAAGACCUUUCUUUUGAAAAAACAAACAAAAAAAAGGAAUGCAACACGAGGACUUCCCAGGAGGUCACCCAUCCUAGUACUACUCUCGCCCAAGCACGCUUAACUUCGGAGUUCUGAUGGGAUCCGGUGCUUUAGUGCUGGUAUGAUCGCAUCCGACAUACCGUGCGUUCUCCUCCCCUUUAUGCCCGCGCCUCCGUGUACGGCCCGCCCAUAGCUCCUUCGACGGCGCCGCCUAGGAACGCGGAGAAAAUAUGACAAAGGAACGGCCAAAAAUAAAAAGAAAGACCUUUCUUUUGAAAAAACAAACAAAUAAAAGGAAUGCAACACGAGGACUUCCCAGGAGGUCACCCAUCCUAGUACUACUCUCGCCCAAGCACGCUUAACUUCGGAGUUCUGAUGGGAUCCGGUGCUUUAGUGCUGGUAUGAUCGCAUCCGACAUACCGUGCGUUCUCCUCCCCUUUAUGCCCGCGCCUCCGUGUACGGCCCGCCCAUAGCUCCUUCGACGGCGCCGCCUAGGAACGCGGAGAAAAUAUGACAAAGGAACGGCCAAAAAUAAAAAGAAAGACCUUUCUUUUGAAAAAACAAACAAAAAAAAAGGAAUGCAACACGAGGACUUCCCAGGAGGUCACCCAUCCUAGUACUACUCUCGCCCAAGCACGCUUAACUUCGGAGUUCUGAUGGGAUCCGGUGCUUUAGUGCUGGUAUGAUCGCAUCCGACAUACCGUGCGUUCUCCUCCCCUUUAUGCCCGCGCCUCCGUGUACGGCCCGCCCAUAGCUCCUUCGACGGCGCCGCCUAGGAACGCGGAGAAAAUAUGACAAAGGAACGGCCAAAAAUAAAAAGAAAGACCUUUCUUUUGAAAAAACAAACAAAAAAAAGGAAUGCAACACGAGGACUUCCCAGGAGGUCACCCAUCCUAGUACUACUCUCGCCCAAGCACGCUUAACUUCGGAGUUCUGAUGGGAUCCGGUGCUUUAGUGCUGGUAUGAUCGCAUCCGACAUACCGUGCGUUCUCCUCCCCUUUAUGCCCGCGCCUCCGUGUACGGCCCGCCCAUAGCUCCUUCGACGGCGCCGCCUAGGAACGCGGAGAAAAUAUGACAAAGGAACGGCCAAAAAUAAAAAGAAAGACCUUUCUUUUGAAAAAACAAACAAAAAAAAGGAAUGCAACACGAGGACUUCCCAGGAGGUCACCCAUCCUAGUACUACUCUCGCCCAAGCACGCUUAACUUCGGAGUUCUGAUGGGAUCCGGUGCUCUAGUGCUGGUAUGAUCGCAUCCGACAUACCGUGCGUUCUCCUCCCCUUUAUGCCCGCGCCUCCGUGUACGGCCCGCCCAUAGCUCCUUCGACGGCGCCGCCUAGGAACGCGGAGAAAAUAUGACAAAGGAACGGCCAAAAAUAAAAAGAAAGACCUUUCUUUUGAAAAAACAAACAAAAAAAAAGGAAUGCAACACGAGGACUUCCCAGGAGGUCACCCAUCCUAGUACUACUCUCGCCCAAGCACGCUUAACUUCGGAGUUCUGAUGGGAUCCGGUGCUUUAGUGCUGGUAUGAUCGCAUCCGACAUACCGUGCGUUCUCCUCCCCUUUAUGCCCGCGCCUCCGUGUACGGCCCGCCCAUAGCUCCUUCGACGGCGCCGCCUAGGAACGCGGAGAAAAUAUGACAAAGGAACGGCCAAAAAUAAAAAGAAAGACCUUUCUUUUGAAAAAACAAACAAAUAAAAGGAAUGCAACACGAGGACUUCCUAGGAGGUCACCCAUCCUAGUACUACUCUCGCCCAAGCACGCUUAACUUCGGAGUUCUAAUGGGAUCCGGUGCUUUAGUGCUGGUAUGAUCGCAUCCGACAUACCGUGCGUUCUCCUCCCCUUUAUGCCCGCGCCUCCGUGUACGGCCCGCCCAUAGCUCCUUCGACGGCGCCGCCUAGGAACGCGGAGAAAAUAUGACAAAGGAACGGCCAAAAAUAAAAAGAAAGACCUUUCUUUUGAAAAAACAAACAAAAAAAAGGAAUGCAACACGAGGACUUCCCAGGAGGUCACCCAUCCUAGUACUACUCUCGCCCAAGCACGCUUAACUUCGGAGUUCUGAUGGGAUCCGGUGCUUUAGUGCUGGUAUGAUCGCAUCCGACAUACCGUGCGUUCUCCUCCCCUUUAUGCCCGCGCCUCCGUGUACGGCCCGCCCAUAGCUCCUUCGACGGCGCCGCCUAGGAACGCGGAGAAAAUAUGACAAAGGAACGGCCAAAAAUAAAAAGAAAGACCUUUCUUUUGAAAAAACAAACAAAAAAAAGGAAUGCAACACGAGGACUUCCCAGGAGGUCACCCAUCCUAGUACUACUCUCGCCCAAGCACGCUUAACUUCGGAGUUCUGAUGGGAUCCGGUGCUUUAGUGCUGGUAUGAUCGCAUCCGACAUACCGUGCGUUCUCCUCCCCUUUAUGCCCGCGCCUCCGUGUACGGCCCGCCCAUAGCUCCUUCGACGGCGCCGCCUAGGAACGCGGAGAAAAUAUGACAAAGGAACGGCCAAAAAUAAAAAGAAAGACCUUUCUUUUGAAAAAACAAACAAAAAAAAGGAAUGCAACACGAGGACUUCCCAGGAGGUCACCCAUCCUAGUACUACUCUCGCCCAAGCACGCUUAACUUCGGAGUUCUGAUGGGAUCCGGUGCUUUAGUGCUGGUAUGAUCGAAUCCGACAUACCGUGCGUUCUCCUCCCCUUUAUGCCCGCGCCUCCGUGUACGGUCCGCCCAUAGCUCCUUCGACGGCGCCGCCUAGGAACGCGGAGAAAAUAUGACAAAGGAACGGCCAAAAAUAAAAAGAAAGACCUUUCUUUUGAAAAAACAAACAAAUAAAAGGAAUGCAACACGAGGACUUCCCAGGAGGUCACCCAUCCUAGUACUACUCUCGCCCAAGCACGCUUAACUUCGGAGUUCUGAUGGGAUCCGGUGCUUUAGUGCUGGUAUGAUCGCAUCCGACAUACCGUGCGUUCUCCUCCCCUUUAUGCCCGCGCCUCCGUGUACGGCCCGCCCAUAGCUCCUUCGACGGCGCCGCCUAGGAACGCGGAGAAAAUAUGACAAAGGAACGGCCAAAAAUAAAAAGAAAGACCUUUCUUUUGAAAAAACAAACAAAUAAAAGGAAUGCAACACGAGGACUUCCCAGGAGGUCACCCAUCCUAGUACUACUCUCGCCCAAGCACGCUUAACUUCGGAGUUCUGAUGGGAUCCGGUGCUUUAGUGCUGGUAUGAUCGCAUCCGACAUACCGUGCGUUCUCCUCCCCUUUAUGCCCGCGCCUCCGUGUACGGCCCGCCCAUAGCUCCUUCGACGGCGCCGCCUAGGAACGCGGAGAAAAUAUGACAAAGGAACGGCCAAAAAUAAAAAGAAAGACCUUUCUUUUGAAAAAACAAACAAAAAAAAGGAAUGCAGCACCAGGACUUCCCGGAAGGUCACCCAUCCAAAUACAACUCUCGCCGAACCACGUUUAACUUCGAAUUUCUAAUGGAAUCCGGGGCUUUAGAGCUGGAAUGAUCGCAUCCGACAUACCGUGCGUUCUCCUCCCCUUUAUGCCCGCGCCUCCGUGUACGGCCCGCCCAUAGCUCCUUCGACGGCGCCGCCUAGGAACGCGGAGAAAAUAUGACAAAGGAGCGGCCAAAAAUAAAAAGAAAGACCUUUCUUUUGAAAAAACAAACAAAUAAAAGGAAUGCAACACGAGGACUUCCUAGGAGGUCACCCAUCCUAGUACUACUCUCGCCCAAGCACGCUUAACUUCGGAGUUCUGAUGGGAUCCGGUGCUUUAGUGCUGGUAUGAUCGCAUCCGACAUACCGUGCGUUCUCCUCCCCUUUAUGCCCGCGCCUCCGUGUACGGCCCGCCCAUAGCUCCUUCGACGGCGCCGCCUAGGAACGCGGAGAAAAUAUGACAAAGGAACGGCCAAAAAUAAAAAGAAAGACCUUUCUUUUGAAAAAACAAACGCCUCCGUGUACGGCCCGCCCAUAGCUCCUUCGACGGCGCCGCCUAGGAACGCGGAGAAAAUAUGACAAAGGAACGGCCAAAAAUAAAAAGAAAGACCUUUCUUUUGAAAAAACAAACAAAAAAAAGGAAUGCAACACGAGGACUUCCCAGGAGGUCACCCAUCCUAGUACUACUCUCGCCCAAGCACGCUUAACUUCGGAGUUCUGAUGGGAUCCGGUGCUUUAGUGCUGGUAUGAUCGCAUCCGACAUACCGUGCGUUCUCCUCCCCUUUAUGCCCGCGCCUCCGUGUACGGCCCGCCCAUAGCUCCUUCGACGGCGCCGCCUAGGAACGCGGAGAAAAUAUGACAAAGGAACGGCCAAAAAUAAAAAGAAAGACCUUUCUUUUGAAAAAACAAACAAAUAAAAGGAAUGCAACACGAGGACUUCCCAGGAGGUCACCCAUCCUAGUACUACUCUCGCCCAAGCACGCUUAACUUCGGAGUUCUGAUGGGAUCCGGUGCUUUAGUGCUGGUAUGAUCGCAUUCGACAUACCGAUGCGUUCUCAUCCCCGUUAUGCGCCGCGCCUCUGUGUACGGCCCGCCCAUAGCUCCUUUGACUGCGCCUCGUAGGAUCGCGGAGAAUAUAUGACAAAGGCACGGCCAAACAUAAAACGAAAGACCUCUCUUUUGCAACAACAAACAAAAUAAAGGAAUGCAACACGAGGACUUCCCAGGAGGUCACCCAUCCUAGUACUAGUCUCGCUCAAGCACGCUGAUCUUCGGAGUUCUGAUGGGAUCCGGUGCUUUAGUGCUGGUAUGAUCGCAUCCGACAUACCGUGCGUUCUCCUCCCCUUUAUGCCCGCGCCUCCGUGUACGGCCCGCCCAUAGCUCCUUCGACGGCGCCGCCUAGGAACGCGGAGAAAAUAUGACAAAGGAACGGCCAAAAAUAAAAAGAAAGACCUUUCUUUUGAAAAAACAAACAAAAAAAAGGAAUGCAACACGAGGACUUCCCAGGAGGUCACCCAUCCUAGUACUACUCUCGCCCAAGCACGCUUAACUUCGGAGUUCUGAUGGGAUCCGGUGCUUUAGUGCUGGUAUGAUCGCAUCCGACAUACCGUGCGUUCUCCUCCCCUUUAUGCCCGCGCCUCCGUGUACGGCCCGCCCAUAGCUCCUUCGACGGCGCCGCCUAGGAACGCGGAGAAAAUAUGACAAAGGAACGGCCAAAAAUAAAAAGAAAGACCUUUCUUUUGAAAAAACAAACAAAUAAAAGGAAUGCAACACGAGGACUUCCCAGGAGGUCACCCAUCCUAGUACUACUCUCGCCCAAGCACGCUUAACUUCGGAGUUCUGAUGGGAUCCGGUGCUUUAGUGCUGGUAUGAUCGCAUCCGACAUACCGUGCGUUCUCCUCCCCUUUAUGCCCGCGCCUCCGUGUACGGCCCGCCCAUAGCUCCUUCGACGAGCCCGCCUAGGAACGCGGAGAAAAUAUGACAAAGGAACGGCCAAAAAUAAAAAGAAAGACCUUUCUUUUGAAAAAACAAACAAAUAAAAGGAAUGCAACACGAGGACUUCCCAGGAGGUCACCCAUCCUAGUACUACUCUCGCCCAAGCACGCUUAACUUCGGAGUUCUGAUGGGAUCCGGUGCUUUAGUGCUGGUAUGAUCGCAUCCGACAUACCGUGCGUUCUCCUCCCCUUUAUGCCCGCGCCUCCGUGUACGGCCCGCCCAUAGCUCCUUCGACGGCGCCGCCUAGGAACGCGGAGAAAAUAUGACAAAGGAACGGCCAAAAAUAAAAAGAAAGACCUUUCUUUUGAAAAAACAAACAAAAAAAAGGAAUGCAACACGAGGACUUCCCAGGAGGUCACCCAUCCUAGUACUACUCUCGCCCAAGCACGCUUAACUUCGGAGUUCUGAUGGGAUCCGGUGCUUUAGUGCUGGUAUGAUCGCAUCCGACAUACCGUGCGUUCUCCUCCCCUUUAUGCCCGCGCCUCCGUGUACGGCCCGCCCAUAGCUCCUUCGACGGCGCCGCCUAGGAACGCGGAGAAAAUAUGACAAAGGAACGGCCAAAAAUAAAAAGAAAGACCUUUCUUUUGAAAAAACAAACAAAUAAAAGGAAUGCAACACGAGGACUUCCCAGGAGGUCACCCAUCCUAGUACUACUCUCGCCCAAGCACGCUUAACUUCGGAGUUCUGAUGGGAUCCGGUGCUUUAGUGCUGGUAUGAUCGCAUCCGACAUACCGUGCGUUCUCCUCCCCUUUAUGCCCGCGCCUCCGUGUACGGCCCGCCCAUAGCUCCUUCGACGGCGCCGCCUAGGAACGCGGAGAAAAUAUGACAAAGGAACGGCCAAAAAUAAAAAGAAAGACCUUUCUUUUGAAAAAACAAACAAAUAAAAGGAAUGCAACACGAGGACUUCCCAGGAGGUCACCCAUCCUAGUACUACUCUCGCCCAAGCACGCUUAACUUCGGAGUUCUGAUGGGAUCCGGUGCUUUAGUGCUGGUAUGAUCGCAUCCGACAUACCGUGCGUUCUCCUCCCCUUUAUGCCCGCGCCUCCGUGUACGGUCCGCCCAUAGCUCUUUAGUUGGCGCCUCCUAGGAACGCGGAGAAAAUAUGACAAAGGAACGGCCAAAAAUAAAAAGAAAGACCUUUCUUUUGAAAAAACAAACGCCUCCGUGUACGGCCCGCCCAUAGCUCCUUCGACGGCGCCGCCUAGGAACGCGGAGAAAAUAUGACAAAGGAACGGCCAAAAAUAAAAAGAAAGACCUUUCUUUUGAAAAAACAAACAAAAAAAAGGAAUGCAACACGAGGACUUCCCAGGAGGUCACCCAUCCUAGUACUACUCUCGCCCAAGCACGCUUAACUUCGGAGUUCUGAUGGGAUCCGGUGCUUUAGUGCUGGUAUGAUCGCAUCCGACAUACCGUGCGUUCUCCUCCCCUUUAUGCCCGCGCCUCCGUGUACGGCCCGCCCAUAGCUCCUUCGACGGCGCCGCCUAGGAACGCGGAGAAAAUAUGACAAAGGAACGGCCAAAAAUAAAAAGAAAGACCUUUCUUUUGAAAAAACAAACAAAUAAAAGGAAUGCAACACGAGGAGUUCCCAGGAGGUCACCCAUCCUAGUACUACUCUCGCCCAAGCACGCUUAACUUCGGAGUUCUGAUGGGAUCCGGUGCUUUAGUGCUGGUAUGAUCGCAUCCGACAUACCGUGCGUUCUCCUCCCCUUUAUGCCCGCGCCUCCGUGUACGGCCCGCCCAUAGCUCCUUCGAUGGCGCCGCCUAGGAACGCGGAGAAAAUAUGACAAAGGAACGGCCAAAAAUAAAAAGAAAGACCUUUCUUUUGAAAAAACAAACGCCUCCGUGUACGGCCCGCCCAUAGCUCCUUCGACGGCGCCGCCUAGGAACGCGGAGAAAAUAUGACAAAGGAACGGCCAAAAAUAAAAAGAAAGACCUUUCUUUUGAAAAAACAAACAAAAAAAAGGAAUGCAACACGAGGACUUCCCAGGAGGUCACCCAUCCUAGUACUACUCUCGCCCAAGCACGCUUAACUUCGGAGUUCGGAUGGGAUCCGGUGCUUUAGUGCUGGUAUGAUCGCAUCCGACAUACCGUGCGUUCUCCUCCCCUUUAUGCCCGCGCCUCCGUGUACGGCCCGCCCAUAGCUCCUUCGACGGCGCCGCCUAGGAACGCGGAGAAAAUAUGACAAAGGAACGGCCAAAAAUAAAAAGAAAGACCUUUCUUUUGAAAAAACAAACAAAUAAAAGGAAUGCAACACGAGGACUUCCCAGGAGGUCACCCAUCCUAGUACUACUCUCGCCCAAGCACGCUUAACUUCGGAGUUCUGAUGGGAUCCGGUGCUUUAGUGCUGGUAUGAUCGCAUCCGACAUACCGUGCGUUCUCCUCCCCUUUAUGCCCGCGCCUCCGUGUACGGCCCGCCCAUAGCUCCUUCGACGGCGCCGCCUAGGAACGCGGAGAAAAUAUGACAAAGGAACGGCCAAAAAUAAAAAGAAAGACCUUUCUUUUGAAAAAACAAACAAAAAAAAGGAAUGCAACACGAGGACUUCCCAGGAGGUCACCCAUCCUAGUACUACUCUCGCCCAAGCACGCUUAACUUCGCAGUUCUGAUGGGAUCCGGUGCUUUAGUGCUGGUAUGAUCGCAUCCGACAUACCGUGCGUUCUCCUCCCCUUUAUGCCCGCGCCUCCGUGUACGGCCCGCCCAUAGCUCCUUCGACGGCGCCGCCUAGGAACGCGGAGAAAAUAUGACAAAGGAACGGCCAAAAAUAAAAAGAAAGACCUUUCUUUUGAAAAAACAAACGGCUCCGUGUACGGCCCGCCCAUAGCUCCUUCGACGGCGCCGCCUAGGAACGCGGAGAAAAUAUGACAAAGGAACGGCCAAAAAUAAAAAGAAAGACCUUUCUUUUGAAAAAACAAACAAAAAAAAGGAAUGCAACACGAGGACUUCCCAGGAGGUCACCCAUCCUAGUACUACUCUCGCCCAAGCACGCUUAACUUCGGAGUUCUGAUGGGAUCCGGUGCUUUAGUGCUGGUAUGAUCGCAUCCGACAUACCGUGCGUUCUCCUCCCCUUUAUGCCCGCGCCUCCGUGUACGGCCCGCCCAUAGCUCCUUCGACGGCGCCGCCUAGGAACGCGGAGAAAAUAUGACAAAGGAACGGCCAAAAAUAAAAAGAAAGACCUUUCUUUUGAAAAAACAAACAAAUAAAAGGAAUGCAACACGAGGACUUCCCAGGAGGUCACCCAUCCUAGUACUACUCUCGCCCAAGCACGCUUAACUUCGGAGUUCUGAUGGGAUCCGGUGCUUUAGUGCUGGUAUGAUCGCAUCCGACAUACCGUGUGUCGACGAAAGCUGGUCGGCAGUCUACCUUGGGGUAUACCCACGGUAGUAGUUUAUCGGUAGACGGUGCGCAAACUACGAACUCGAUGGUGACGCAAGACACGGACAAGCUUUUUAUCCAGGUUCGGCCGCCGAGUUGGCGUAAUACCUACGUCCUGCGUCUGGUUGUAUUGGAUUGUGUUUAGAGAUAAUCUACCCUAGGGGGUCCCCUUGCCCCUCCUUAUAUAGUCUGGAGGGCAGGGUUACAGAUCUAGAAACUAAUCCUAGCCGGUUACAAUUGCCAUAGAUAAUUCGAUAUCAAUUCCUAUUCUAACCGACUAGAAUCCUGCUUGAUCUCCACGUCCUGUUUCCUUGCGCGAAACUCGGGCUAUCGGAUCAAGCCUUGAACUCGUCUCGUAGUGGGCCAAGCUUCCUAGCUGAAGUCUAGCCGUAAGGGUAUAGGGGUUUAUACCCCCACAGCUAGUCCCCGAGCGCCAUGUAUUGUGACGCAACACUCCGUCUUGAGCUUCUUCGAUCAGCGUGGUCUGUCGUCUUCAAUGAGCGGGGAAAUCGCCCAAACGGUUCAUUGAUCAACGUUGUCAUCGAAGAAGCAGGUUGUUCGAAGAAUGCAUGGUGCUCUAAAAAAAAUUUCUUUCCUGGUGAAGUGUGCCCACUUUGCCUUUCUGAAAGGUAGAAGCAACAAAAAAGCAAGCAAAUUCACCGCUAGGUGAAGUGUGCCCACUUAGUCCCCGAGCCUGGUAGUAGGUGUCGUAGGCACGUGGUGCCAGGGUCAAAAGAAAAUUCCCCAAAGUAGUUUUGGGACUGAGAUGCAUCGUACCGAUGUAGUCCCCGAGCUUGCUGGAAGGCGAAGUAUGAGCCUUGUAGCAAGGUCUAAAAAAUUGAAUUUACCAGUCCCCGAGCAUGUCAUGCUCGUCUGCAAUCGAAAAGACCAAUCGACCAGUCCCCAGGCACUUAGUGUGCUGCCUGGAAUUACAUGUUACUAUACUGUACGACCAGUCCCCGAGCAUCGAGUGCUCAGUGGUCGGUGCAUGCUUUAAAGCUUUGAGCUGAUAGACUGAGCGACCAGUCCCCGAGCGUCGAGUGCUCGGUGGUCGGUGAAGUCUUUGAAGUUCCGAGCUGAUAAACUGGGCGACCAGUCCCCGAGCGUCGAGUGCUCGGUGGUCGGUGCAGUCUUUGAAGUUCCGAGCUAAUAAACUGGGCGACCAGUCCCCGAGCGUCGAGUGCUCGGUGGUCGGUGCAGUCUUUGAAGUUCCGAGCUAAUAAACUGGGCGACCAGUCCCCGAGCGUCGAGUGCUCGGUGGUCGGUGCAGUCCCCGGAUUGCUGACUCACUGGCGUAUGUGUCUUCUUACUUUUGAAAAGGUCUUUCAAAUUUAAAGUUGACGUGACGGGGUCUCCUGACGAUAUGUCAGACGGAUGCAUGAAAAGCUGUGCCUGGCAACUGUACAACCGCUCUUUGCNNNNNNNNNNNNNNNNNNNNNNNNNNNNNNNNNNNNNNNNNNNNNNNNNNNNNNNNNNNNNNNNNNNNNNNNNNNNNNNNNNNNNNNNNNNNNNNNNNNNCGUUCUCCUCCCCUUUAUGCCCGCGCCUCCGUGUCCGUAAAGGGCAUAGCUCCUUCGACGGCGCCGCCGUAGGAACGCUGAGAAGAUAUGACAAAGGAACGGCCAAAAAUAAAAAGAAAGACCUUUCUUUUGAAAAAACAAACAAAAAAAAGGAAUGCAACACGAGGACUUCCCAGGAGGUCACCCAUCCUAGUACUACUCUCGCCCAAGCACGCUUAACUUCGGAGUUCUGAUGGGAUCCGGUGCUUUAGUGCUGGUAUGAUCGCAUCCGACAUACCGUGCGUUCUCCUCCCCUUUAUGCCCGCGCCUCCGUGUACGGCCGGCCCAUAGCUCCUUCGACGGCGCCGCCUAGGAACGCGGAGAAAAUAUGACAAAGGAAUUUUUUUAAAUAAAAAGAAAGACCUUUCUUUUGAAAAAACAAACGAAAAAAAGGAAUGCAACACGAGGACUUCCCAGGAGGUCACCCAUCCUAGUACUACUCUCGCCCAAGCACGCUUAACUUCGGAGUUCUGAUGGGAUCCGGUGCUUUAGUGCUGGUAUGAUCGCAUCCGACAUACCGUGCGUUCUCCUCCCCUUUAUGCCCGCGCCUCCGUGUACGGCCCGCCCAUAGCUCCUUCGACGGCGCCGCCUAAGAACGCGGAAAAAAUAUGACAAAGGAACGGCCAAAAAUAAAAAAAAAAAACCUUUCUUUUGAAAAAANNNNNNNNNNNNNNNNNNNNNNNNNNNNNNNNNNNNNNNNNNNNNNNNNNNNNNNNNNNNNNNNNNNNNNNNNNNNNNNNNNNNNNNNNNNNNNNNNNNNAAAAGGAAUGCAACACGAGGACUUCCCAGGAGGUCACCCAUCCUAGUACUACUCUCGCCCAAGCACGCUUAACUUCGGAGUUCUGAUGGGAUCCGGUGCUUUAGUGCUGGUAUGAUCGCAUCCGACAUACCGUGCGUUCUCCUCCCCUUUAUGCCCGCGCCUCCGUGUUACGGCCCGCCCAUAGCUCCUUCGACGGCGCCGCCUAGGAACGCGGAGAAAAUAUGACAAAGGAACGGCCAAAAAUCAAAAGAAAGACCUUUCUUUUGAAAAAACACACGCCUCCGUGUACGGCCCGCCCAUAGCUCCUUCGACGGCGCCGCCUAGGAACGCGGAGAAAAUAUGACAAAGGAACGGCCAAAAAUAAAAAGAAAGACCUUUCUUUUGAAAAAACAAACAAAUAAAAGGAAUGCAACACGAGGACUUCCCAGGAGGUCACCCAUCCUAGUACUACUCUCGCCCAAGCACGCUUAACUUCGGAGUUCUGAUGGGAUCCGGUGCUUUAGUGCUGGUAUGAUCGCAUCCGACAUACCGUGCGUUCUCCUCCCCUUUAUGCCCGCGCCUCCGUGUACGGCCCGCCCAUAGCUCCUUCGACGGCGCCGCCUAGGAACGCGGAGAAAAUAUGACAAAGGAACGGCCAAAAAUAAAAAGAAAGACCUUUCUUUUGAAAAAACAAACAAAUAAAAGGAAUGCAACACGAGGACUUCCCAGGAGGUCACCCAUCCUAGUACUACUCUCGCCCAAGCACGCUUAACUUCGGAGUUCUGAUGGGAUCCGGUGCUUUAGUGCUGGUAUGAUCGCAUCCGACAUACCGUGCGUUCUCCUCCCCUUUAUGCCCGCGCCUCCGUGUACGGCCCGCCCAUAGCUCCUUCGACGGCGCCGCCUAGGAACGCGGAGAAAAUAUGACAAAGGAACGGCCAAAAAUAAAAAGAAAGACCUUUCUUUUGAAAAAACAAACGCCUCCGUGUACGGCCCGCCCAUAGCUCCUUCGACGGCGCCGCCUAGGAACGCGGAGAAAAUAUGACAAAGGAACGGCCAAAAAUAAAAAGAAAGACCUUUCUUUUGAAAAAACAAACAAAAAAAAGGAAUGCAACACGAGGACUUCCCAGGAGGUCACCCAUCCUAGUACUACUCUCGCCCAAGCACGCUUAACUUCGGAGUUCUGAUGGGAUCCGGUGCUUUAGUGCUGGUAUGAUCGCAUCCGACAUACCGUGCGUUCUCCUCCCCUUUAUGCCCGCGCCUCCGUGUACGGCCCGCCCAUAGCUCCUUCGACGGCGCCGCCUAGGAACGCGGAGAAAAUAUGACAAAGGAACGGCCAAAAAUAAAAAGAAAGACCUUUCUUUUGAAAAAACAAACAAAUAAAAGGAAUGCAACACGAGGACUUCCCAGGAGGUCACCCAUCCUAGUACUACUCUCGCCCAAGCACGCUUAACUUCGGAGUUCUGAUGGGAUCCGGUGCUUUAGUGCUGGUAUGAUCGCAUCCGACAUACCGUGCGUUCUCCUCCCCUUUAUGCCCGCGCCUCCGUGUACGGCCCGCCCAUAGCUCCUUCGACGGCGCCGCCUAGGAACGCGGAGAAAAUAUGACAAAGGAACGGCCAAAAAUAAAAAGAAAGACCUUUCUUUUGAAAAAACAAACGCCUCCGUGUACGGCCCGCCCAUAGCUCCUUCGACGGCGCCGCCUAGGAACGCGGAGAAAAUAUGACAAAGGAACGGCCAAAAAUAAAAAGAAAGACCUUUCUUUUGAAAAAACAAACAAAAAAAAGGAAUGCAACACGAGGACUUCCCAGGAGGUCACCCAUCCUAGUACUACUCUCGCCCAAGCACGCUUAACUUCGGAGUUCUGAUGGGAUCCGGUGCUUUAGUGCUGGUAUGAUCGCAUCCGACAUACCGUGCGUUCUCCUCCCCUUUAUGCCCGCGCCUCCGUGUACGGCCCGCCCAUAGCUCCUUCGACGGCGCCGCCUAGGAACGCGGAGAAAAUAUGACAAAGGAACGGCCAAAAAUAAAAAGAAAGACCUUUCUUUUGAAAAAACAAACAAAUAAAAGGAAUGCAACACGAGGACUUCCCAGGAGGUCACCCAUCCUAGUACUACUCUCGCCCAAGCACGCUUAACUUCGGAGUUCUGAUGGGAUCCGGUGCUUUAGUGCUGGUAUGAUCGCAUCCGACAUACCGUGCGUUCUCCUCCCCUUUAUGCCCGCGCCUCCGUGUACGGCCCGCCCAUAGCUCCUUCGACGGCGCCGCCUAGGAACGCGGAGAAAAUAUGACAAAGGAACGGCCAAAAAUAAAAAGAAAGACCUUUCUUUUGAAAAAACAAACAAAAAAAAGGAAUGCAACACGAGGACUUCCCAGGAGGUCACCCAUCCUAGUACUACUCUCGCCCAAGCACGCUUAACUUCGGAGUUCUGAUGGGAUCCGGUGCUUUAGUGCUGGUAUGAUCGCAUCCGACAUACCGUGCGUUCUCCUCCCCUUUAUGCCCGCGCCUCCGGGUACGGUCCUCCCAUAGCUCCGUCAACGGCCCGCCUAGGAACGCGGAGAAAAUAUGACAAAGGAACGGCCAAAAAUAAAAAGAAAGCCCUUUCUUUUGAAAAGACAACCGAAUAAAAGGAAUGCCACGCGAGGACUUCCCAGGAGGUCACCCAUCAUAGUACUACUCUCGCCCAAGCACGCUUAACUUCGGAGUUCUGAUGGGAUCCGGUGCUUUAGUGCUGGUAUGAUCGCAUCCGACAUACCGCGCGUUCUCCUCCCCUUAAGGCCCGCGCCUCCGUGUACGGCCCGCCCAUAGCUCCUUAGACGGCACCUCCUAGGAACGCGGAGAAAAUAUGACAAAGGAACGGCCAAAAAUAAAAAGAAAGACCUUUCUUUUGAAAAAACAAACGCCUCCGUGUACGGCCCGCCCAUAGCUCCUUCGACGGCGCCGCCUAGGAACGCGGAGAAAAUAUGACAAAGGAACGGCCAAAAAUAAAAAGAAAGACCUUUCUUUUGAAAAAACAAACAAAAAAAAGGAAUGCAACACGAGGACUUCCCAGGAGGUCACCCAUCCUAGUACUACUCUCGCCCAAGCACGCUUAACUUCGGAGUUCUGAUGGGAUCCGGUGCUUUAGUGCUGGUAUGAUCGCAUCCGACAUACCGUGCGUUCUCCUCCCCUUUAUGCCCGCGCCUCCGUGUACGGCCCGCCCAUAGCUCCUUCGACGGCGCCGCCUAGGAACGCGGAGAAAAUAUGACAAAGGAACGGCCAAAAAUAAAAAGAAAGACCUUUCUUUUGAAAAAACAAACGCCUCCGCGUACGGCCCGCCCAUAGCUCCUUCGACGGCGCCGCCUAGGAACGCGGAGAAAAUAUGACAAAGGAACGGCCAAAAAUAAAAAGAAAGACCUUUCUUUUGAAAAAACAAACAAAAAAAAGGAAUGCAACACGAGGACUUCCCAGGAGGUCACCCAUCCUAGUACUACUCUCGCCCAAGCACGCUUAACUUCGGAGUUCUGAUGGGAUCCGGUGCUUUAGUGCUGGUAUGAUCGCAUCCGACAUACCGUGCGUUCUCCUCCCCUUUAUGCCCGCGCCUCCGUGUACGGCCCGCCCAUAGCUCCUUCGACGGCGCCGCCUAGGAACGCGGAGAAAAUAUGACAAAGGAACGGCCAAAAAUAAAAAGAAAGACCUUUCUUUUGAAAAAACAAACAAAUAAAAGGAAUGCAACACGAGGACUUCCCAGGAGGUCACCCAUCCUAGUACUACUCUCGCCCAAGCACGCUUAACUUCGGAGUUCUGAUGGGAUCCGGUGCUUUAGUGCUGGUAUGAUCGCAUCCGACAUACCGUGCGUUCUCCUCCCCUUUAUGCCCGCGCCUCCGUGUACGGCCCGCCCAUAGCUCCUUCGACGGCGCCGCCUAGGAACGCGGAGAAAAUAUGACAAAGGAACGGCCAAAAAUAAAAAGAAAGACCUUUCUUUUGAAAAAACAAACAAAUAAAAGGAAUGCAACACGAGGACUUCCCAGGAGGUCACCCAUCCUAGUACUACUCUCGCCCAAGCACGCUUAACUUCGGAGUUCUGAUGGGAUCCGGUGCUUUAGUGCUGGUAUGAUCGCAUCCGACAUACCGUGCGUUCUCCUCCCCUUUAUGCCCGCGCCUCCGUGUACGGCCCGCCCAUAGCUCCUUCGACGGCGCCGCCUAGGAACGCGGAGAAAAUAUGACAAAGGAACGGCCAAAAAUAAAAAGAAAGACCUUUCUUUUGAAAAAACAAACGCCUCCGUGUACGGCCCGCCCAUAGCUCCUUCGACGGCGCCGCCUAGGAACGCGGAGAAAAUAUGACAAAGGAACGGCCAAAAAUAAAAAGAAAGACCUUUCUUUUGAAAAAACAAACAAAAAAAAGGAAUGCAACACGAGGACUUCCCAGGAGGUCACCCAUCCUAGUACUACUCUCGCCCAAGCACGCUUAACUUCGGAGUUCUGAUGGGAUCCGGUGCUUUAGUGCUGGUAUGAUCGCAUCCGACAUACCGUGCGUUCUCCUCCCCUUUAUGCCCGCGCCUCCGUGUACGGCCCGCCCAUAGCUCCUUCGACGGCGCCGCCUAGGAACGCGGAGAAAAUAUGACAAAGGAACGGCCAAAAAUAAAAAGAAAGACCUUUCUUUUGAAAAAACAAACAAAUAAAAGGAAUGCAACACGAGGACUUCCCAGGAGGUCACCCAUCCUAGUACUACUCUCGCCCAAGCACGCUUAACUUCGGAGUUCUGAUGGGAUCCGGUGCUUUAGUGCUGGUAUGAUCGCAUCCGACAUACCGUGCGUUCUCCUCCCCUUUAUACCCGCGCCUCCGUGUACGGCCCGCCCAUAGCUCCUUCGACGGCGCCGCCUAGGAACGCGGAGAAAAUAUGACAAAGGAACGGCCAAAAAUAAAAAGAAAGACCUUUCUUUUGAAAAAACAAACAAAUAAAAGGAAUGCAACACGAGGACUUCCCAGGAGGUCACCCAUCCUAGUACUACUCUCGCCCAAGCACGCUUAACUUCGGAGUUCUGAUGGGAUCCGGUGCUUUAGUGCUGGUAUGAUCGCAUCCGACAUACCGUGCGUUCUCCUCCCCUUUAUGCCCGCGCCUCCGUGUACGGCCCGCCCAUAGCUCCUUCGACGGCGCCGCCUAGGAACGCGGAGAAAAUAUGACAAAGGAACGGCCAAAAAUAAAAAGAAAGACCUUUCUUUUGAAAAAACAAACGCCUCCGUGUACGGCCCGCCCAUAGCUCCUUCGACGGCGCCGCCUAGGAACGCGGAGAAAAUAUGACAAAGGAACGGCCAAAAAUAAAAAGAAAGACCUUUCUUUUGAAAAAACAAACAAAAAAAAGGAAUGCAACACGAGGACUUCCCAGGAGGUCACCCAUCCUAGUACUACUCUCGCCCAAGCACGCUUAACUUCGGAGUUCUGAUGGGAUCCGGUGCUUUAGUGCUGGUAUGAUCGCAUCCGACAUACCGUGCGUUCUCCUCCCCUUUAUACCCGCGCCUCCGUGUACGGCCCGCCCAUAGCUCCUUCGACGGCGCCGCCUAGGAACGCGGAGAAAAUAUGACAAAGGAACGGCCAAAAAUAAAAAGAAAGACCUUUCUUUUGAAAAAACAAGCAAAAAAAAGGAAUGCAACACGAGGACUUCCCAGGAGGUCACCCAUCCUAGUACUACUCUCGCCCAAGCACGCUUAACUUCGGAGUUCUGAUGGGAUCCGGUGCUUUAGUGCUGGUAUGAUCGCAUCCGACAUACCGUGCGUUCUCCUCCCCUUUAUGCCCGCGCCUCCGUGUACGGCCCGCCCAUAGCUCCUUCGACAGCGCCGCCUAGGAACGCGGAGAAAAUAUGACAAAGGAACGGCAAAAAAUAAAAAGAAAGACCUUUCUUUUGAAAAAACAAACAAAAAAAAGGAAUGCAACACGCGGACUUCCCAGGAGGUCACCCAUCCUAGUACUACUCUCGCCUAAGCACGCUUAACUUCGGAGUNNNNNNNNNNNNNNNNNNNNNNNNNNNNNNNNNNNNNNNNNNNNNNNNNNNNNNNNNNNNNNNNNNNNNNNNNNNNNNNNNNNNNNNNNNNNNNNNNNNNNNNNNNNNNNNNNNNNNNNNNNNNNNNNNNNNNNNNNNNNNNNNNNNNNNNNNNNNNNNNNNNNNNNNNNNNNNNNNNNNNNNNNNNNNNNNNNNNNNNNNNNNNNNNNNNNNNNNNNNNNNNNNNNNNNNNNNNNNNNNNNNNNNNNNNNNNNNNNNNNNNNNNNNNNNNNNNNNNNNNNNNNNNNNNNNNNNNNNNNNNNNNNNNNNNNNNNNNNNNNNNNNNNNNNNNNNNNNNNNNNNNNNNNNNNNNNNNNNNNNNNNNNNNNNNNNNNNNNNNNNNNNNNNNNNNNNNNNNNNNNNNNNNNNNNNNNNNNNNNNNNNNNNNNNNNNNNNNNNNNNNNNNNNNNNNNNNNNNNNNNNNNNNNNNNNNNNNNNNNNNNNNNNNNNNNNNNNNNNNNNNNNNNNNNNNNNNNNNNNNNNNNNNNNNNNNNNNNNNNNNNNNNNNNNNNNNNNNNNNNNNNNNNNNNNNNNNNNNNNNNNNNNNNNNNNNNNNNNNNNNNNNNNNNNNNNNNNNNNNNNNNNNNNNNNNNNNNNNNNNNNNNNNNNNNNNNNNNNNNNNNNNNNNNNNNNNNNNNNNNNNNNNNNNNNNNNNNNNNNNNNNNNNNNNNNNNNNNNNNNNNNNNNNNNNNNNNNNNNNNNNNNNNNNNNNNNNNNNNNNNNNNNNNNNNNNNNNNNNNNNNNNNNNNNNNNNNNNNNNNNNNNNNNNNNNNNNNNNNNNNNNNNNNNNNNNNNNNNNNNNNNNNNNNNNNNNNNNNNNNNNNNNNNNNNNNNNNNNNNNNNNNNNNNNNNNNNNNNNNNNNNNNNNNNNNNNNNNNNNNNNNNNNNNNNNNNNNNNNNNNNNNNNNNNNNNNNNNNNNNNNNNNNNNNNNNNNNNNNNNNNNNNNNNNNNNNNNNNNNNNNNNNNNNNNNNNNNNNNNNNNNNNNNNNNNNNNNNNNNNNNNNNNNNNNNNNNNNNNNNNNNNNNNNNNNNNNNNNNNNNNNNNNNNNNNNNNNNNNNNNNNNNNNNNNNNNNNNNNNNNNNNNNNNNNNNNNNNNNNNNNNNNNNNNNNNNNNNNNNNNNNNNNNNNNNNNNNNNNNNNNNNNNNNNNNNNNNNNNNNNNNNNNNNNNNNNNNNNNNNNNNNNNNNNNNNNNNNNNNNNNNNNNNNNNNNNNNNNNNNNNNNNNNNNNNNNNNNNNNNNNNNNNNNNNNNNNNNNNNNNNNNNNNNNNNNNNNNNNNNNNNNNNNNNNNNNNNNNNNNNNNNNNNNNNNNNNNNNNNNNNNNNNNNNNNNNNNNNNNCCUUCAUCCAUCUGUGCGAGGCCUAUGUUGGCAUAGAGCCGCACUUUGAUCUUUUCCGGUAUCUUUUCUGUCUGAGGAAGAAGGGAGCAGUUGGAGGCUCCAAGGUUGCAGGUGGAGUAUACCUCAACCUCCGUGAUGGGAUGAAGAAUCGCUACCUGCACUGCCCAUGGAACACCUCCUUGACCGAAUGGUACAGGAAGUGGUUCUACGUCAGGGAGGAACCGGGCAGCUCCACGUUCUGCGACGUGGGGUACGUUCCCGAGAAGAGGGCGAGCUGGACUGACCGCCCAGAGUUCGACGGUCAAGUGGCGGUUCUGAUGAAGCUGAUCGACUGGUCGCGCCUGGAUGGGCUCAGCGUGGUCGGCAACUUCAUUUGCCGCCGGGUGAUGCCCUGCCAGAAGAGGGUGCACUCGGCGUAUGAAUAUGCCGGAAGCACAGACCCGACCAGGAUGCGGUCGGAGAUCCUGGAGAAGGCGGAGGUACAACAGCUGCUGAACGAGCUGUUUAACUUCGCGGAUGGGGGCUUCACCCGUAGCAGUGAUCGGGUGCAAGCCUUCAAGUUAGGACGACCAGCACCAAAGGUAUGUAGCAGACUUCGUUUGAUCAUUCGUAUGUCGCCUGUAGUUGGCUCAUCUCUGUUACCUUUGCAGGUCGGUGAUGUCGACCGGUGCGUAGUGUACGUAUCACUGGCACCGGGGAUGGAAGAUCCUGUGGGAGAGGUCCCACCGGAGGAAGGCAGAGCCCGCCCCGUCCCGACCUCCGAGGAGAGGGUGGCGGGGAAAAGGCCAUUGCCGGUGGAUCCCCUGCCGACGCCGGAGCUGCCGGCAGACCUACCGGCGGAGAGCAGCCAAGCGCCGAAGCGUCGUCGGCUCGUGCGGAUCGUCGACGACGACGACGACGACGAGGAGGCUGCGCCGUCGUUGGUCCGACGGCCUCGGGGCCGCCCAGACGCUGCACCAGUCGCCACUGAUCGAGUGGCCAACGGCGCGGCUGCCCCGCAAGUUGCCGAGGUGGGGGCACAGGCGCCGACCGGCCGGGCGAGGAGGAGGUUCACCGCGACCCAUCGCCGGUCAGACCUGUAAGUGUUCAACUUACGUAUUUUGGACUCCCCCUUUUUUUUUUUUUUAAACUUUUGUUCCUGUAGUGCGGCAUCGGAUGUCGACCCUGGCCAAACUGCCGGCCAGGGAACGGGCGAGCCUGCCCGCGGUUCUCGGGAUGCGGCCCCCCAGACCACAGAACAGCCGACUGCUGCAGUCGCGCCUGGGAGCACCGAGGAGCUCCCGAGCGCGGCGCCGACUACAACAAGCAGCCCGACCAGGGCUGGGGAGGCUCCCCCAACUGACUCUUCGGAGAAGGGAAAGUCUCCGACCGCUCCUCCUGCCGGGGGGAGUGAAGUCCCCCCGCCGCCCCGAGCAGAAGCCUCUCCGGCUGCGGGCUCCCCAGGUCUGGUCCAAGGGACGUUGACGCCUGGGACCACCACCGGGGGUGACGCAGCCCAGGAGGAGGAAACCAGGGCGGCCUCCGACGACGAGGUAGAAGAGAUCGAGGGUCGUCCCCGUGAUGGCCGCCAACACGUGUAUGUGUGGCGCCAACGCGGGGAUCACUUUAUCGGUCAUGAGGAGCUUGCCGAGUCCGAAGAGGCCGCCAGGGUGGAGCGCGCGGCCAAGCGCCUUGUCGACGAAGUCAAGGUAAGCGUCGUUUUGAGCUGCCGCGCAUUCUUUUGCCUUGUCUUCUGCGCAUUGUUAUAUGCUUGCUUUGUAGGACGUUAUGAAAACGGCGAAGUACCGGAAACGGUGCUUUGACCAGAUAGAAGGCGUCAUGGCCGAGAACAAGGCCCUUGCCGCGGAGGUAGACCGGUUGCGGGCGGAGGUCGGAGAGAAGGUGGUCGAGAUGAGCACCGAGAAGGAGCGUCGUCUCGACCUCGCUCGUCGCCUGGCCGACCAGUACCGGCUGCAGGAAGGUUAGUCUCACGCUCCGAGCAGUUUCGCAGACUUGUAUAGUUUGCUUCGCUGACCAGUUUAGGAUUCACGCAGACUUGGAGGAGGAGGUGGCGAGCCUCCAACAAGAGAAGGAGCAGCUCGGCCAACAGCUCGCCAGUGCGCAGGAGUCCGGACGGCGAGCGGAAGAGGAAUUAAGUCGUAAAGACCGGGAGUUAGCUGGUAAUGGGUGCCGCCUUGUUGGUUGCUACCUGCCCCUUUGCUUGUUUGGUAUGCCGAAAGUAACGUUUCGUUUCGUUUGCAGUGCUCAAGGUGAACACCAAAAAGCACCUGGAUGAGCUGGUCAAGGACCGGGACUCCUGGAAGGUCAACUGUUGCAGGAUCUGGAAGGGAGUGUCCCCGGUCCUGGACCUGAUCAGUCCCGAGCUCCCGGAGAGCCAGCCCCGCGCGCCGCAGUUGACCCCGGUUCAAAAGGCGCAACGGGCGUGGGACUGGCUCCAGCAGUUUGUGAAGGACGCCGGGGAGUUUGCCGGCGCGCACGUCCUCAGCAUGGUACGCGCCCACUACCCCCUUGUCGACUUGAGCAGGCUGGAGAAGGGGUACCCGAAGGAAGUCGGCCCACAGGAAGCGGACGAACUUCGGGGUAGUCUGCUGGACUUGUCGUCGACAGUGAUCGGCGACAUCAACCUGUGCGGAACGGCCACUCCUCCAGACCAGCCGAGCUCAGAUAGGUCGGCCAGGGAGUUGUCGGGCGCGUCCUUUGCUGGAGAUGGGCGGUCGACGCCUGCGGUCUCGACCAGCCAGGCGCCGGUGGCCCCGACCCCUUCGUCCGGGCAGCAGGGCCAGGCGGGUGAUCAGCCCGAGCAGCUAGGCCAAUAAAGUAGUCUGUAGGAAUAGACUAGUAUCUGCCCGUCAGGGUAUUUAUUGUAAACUUUGUAUGUAAAGUUUGUAAUAAAGUUUUCUUUUUGUCAUGACUGUUGUUUUGAGCGCUGUAAAAAUAUCUGAGUGAUGUGUCAUCGUAUUUGUCUUGGUUGUCGCCAAGAGCAUCCAUUGCGGGAGUUUUGCCGAGUGCUGUGUAUGACAAGGUAUAGGCAAAAAAUAGAGAAUUAUAUUGUCACAAAUUAUAAGACACUUACAAAAGAAAGUCGCUAAAACUUUAUGGAUAGAAACGUCGCAGUUUGUCGAUGUGCCAAGAGUUAGGCACUCGUGUUCCGUCUGGGUAUGCCAAUCUGUAGGACGUAGGUCGUGUGACCUCGGUCACCACGAAGGGUCCUUCCCAGGGAGUAGAUAACUUGUGCAUUCCCUCCUGGCUUGUUUUCCAUCGAAGCACCAGAUCGCCGACCACGAAGGAACGGUCCUUGACGUUCCUGUUGUAGUAUCGCCUGACUGCCGUGAGAUAUUUUGCUGUUCGGAGACAUGAAACUAAACGCUUUUCCUCCAUGCAAUUGAUUUCGAGUUCUCUGGCGUUGUCGGCGGUCGACUGGUCGAAGUGCUCAAUUCUAGGGGAUCCGAAGUGUAUGUCGGACGGCAGAACCGCCUCUGCGCCGUACACCAUGAAAUAGGGAGACACCCCCGUGUUUCGACUGGUCUGAGUUCGAAGGCCCCAGACCACUGCCGGCAAUUCUUUCAUCCAUCGACCGGGUGCUCUGUCGUUCUCGGUGUACAAUCUUUUCUUUAGGGCGUCGACGAUCAUUCCAUUAGCACGUUCGACCUGACCGUUGGCACGUGGAUGUGCCACUGACACAUAUUUUAUGACUAUGCCUCUGUCAUCGCAGAAAUCCCAAAAGGUGGUGCCAGUAAACUGAGUGCCCAGGUCGGUGAUUAUGCUGUUCGGGAUGCCGAAUCUGUGUAUGAUUUGAUUGAGGAACUCCACAGCCUUCUCGGAAGUUGCCUUGACCAGGGGCAUGUAUUCAAUCCACUUGGAGAACUUGUCGAUUAACACGAAGACAAACUUGAAGUUGCCCGGGGCUGGUUUAAAUGGUCCGAUCAUGUCAAGCCCCCAGCAGGCAAAGGGCCAAGACGACGGGAUGGUUUGAAUUUCAUGGGCAGGUACGUGGGUCCUCUUAGCGAAAAACUGACAUCCUUCGCAACGCCGAACCAGUUUUUCUGCAUCGCUGACCGCGGUCGGCCAGUAAAAACCUGCUCGGAAAGCCUUUCCGACCAGCGUUCUAGAUGCGGCGUGGUUGCCGCAGGAUCCGGCGUGUAUGUCCUCCAAGAGCUUGAUACCAUCGUCUUGGGGUAUGCACUUGAGCAGUACCUCGGAGCUUGCGUUUUUCCGCAUGAGUUUUCCGUCGACCAGGAUGUAGUUCUUUGACCGUCGGAUGAGACGCUCGUUCUCUGUUUUGUCCUGAAAACCUGUCCCGUCUGAGAUGUAUUUGAUGAACGGGACACGCCAGUCGCGCCCGCCGGUUGUCGGAGUGGCGUCAUCUAUGAGCAUUGCCUCGUUGGGUUGCUUGUCGACCAGGGGGGAGCUUACGCUCGGCUCAUGGAUGUCCUGGACGAAAAUACCGCGCGGGAUUUGGGCCCGGGACGAGCCUAACUUUGACAACGCAUCUGCUGCUUGGUUCUUAUCCCGGACCACGUGGAUGUACUCUAUGCCAUAGAAGUUAGUUUCCCAUUUGCGAAUUUCUUUGCAGUAGAGAUCCAUCUUCUCGUGGGUUGCGUCCCACUCCUUGUUGAGCUGGUUGAUGACCAAAGCGGAGUCCCCGUAGACAUAGAGGCGCUUAACCCCCAGCUCAACGGCUAGUCGUACGCCAUGUAAGCAAGCUUCAUAUUCGGCGACAUUGUUUGACGCCGGGAAAAGGAUCCGAAGGACGUAGCGGAGUUUGUCCUUGUUUGGUGAUACGAACAAUAUCCCAGCGCCUGCACCGUUGAUGUUCAAGGACCCAUCAAAGAACAUUGACCAGUGGUCUGAGACAUCGGGAACGGACGGUUCGUUGAGAUCCGUCCAUUCGGCAAUGAAAUCGACCAGGGCUUGGGACUUGACAGUGGUGCGACUCUGAAACUCCAGGGAAAAUGGACAUAAUUCCAUUGCCCAUUUCACGAUUCUGCCAUUGGCGUCUUUAUUGCGCAGGAUGUCACCGAGGGGAAAGCUGGUUGUCACCAGGACUCGAUGGCCGUCGAAGUAGUGCUUCAGUUUUCUUGACGUUAUCAGGAUGGCGUAUAUAAGCUUCUGUAUUUGUGGGUACCUGGCCUUGGAUUCGUUUAAAACUUCGCUUAUGAAGUAAACGGGCCUCUGGACCUUGAAGACGUGACCUGGUUCAUCUCGCUCGACCACUAUUGCCGUGGAAACAACUCUGUCGGUUGCAGCAAUGUAAAGGAGCAGGUCUUCGUUGGGCUGAGGCGCUGUGAGAACAGGCGGUGAAGUGAGGAAGGUCUUAAGCUGAGUGAACGCAGCGUCGGCGUCUUCUAUCCAGGAGAAUUUUUCUGACGCUUUCAAUAGUUUGAAAAAGGGGAGGCCUUUUUCUCCCAGCCUUGAGAUGAAACGACUGAGAGCGGCCAUGCAUCCGGUUAGCUUCUGAAUAUCCUUGACGUUCUUCGGUGGUCGCAUGUCGAGUACGGCUUUGACUUUUGAAGGGUUUGGCCGUAUGCCGUCGCAACUGACGACGUUGCCGAGCAGUAGACCGGAAGGAACGCCGAAAAUGCAUUUCUUGGGGUUGAGCUUCCACUUGUACCUAUUGAGUGCCUUGAAGGUUCGGUCUAAGUUGUCGAUUAGGGUGCUCGCAUCCCUUGUUUUUACGACCACGUCGUCCACAUAGGCCUCGACGAGGUCGUCGCGAAUCUCGUCGUGGAGGCAUUGCUGGAUGGCCCUUUGAUAAGUGGCCCCGGCGUUUUUAAGUCCGAAAGACAUGGUAGUGUAACAGUAUGCGCCGAAAGGUGUGAUGAAGGAUGUUUUGAUCUGAUCUUCUUCUUUUAACGAGAUCUGGUGAUAACCAGAGUAGCAAUCUAGAAAGGAGAGGAGUUCGCAUCCGGCCGUUGAGUCGACCACCUCGUCGAUGCGAGGAAGACCAAAAGGAUCUUUAGGACAGUGUUUGUUGAGAUCGGUGUAAUCAACGCACAUUCUCCAUUCAUUAUUCUUUUUGCGUACAAGAACCGGAUUGGCGAGCCAAUCGGGAUGAUACACCUCUUUUAUGAAUCCGGCUGCUAGAAGCCGUGUUAUUUCUGUCCUAAUAGCCUCCUUUUUGUCACGAGCGAACCGUCGCAGUUUUUGCUUGAUUGGUCUUGCGGUCUUCGAGACGUUUAAGGAGUGCUCGAUCAGGUUCCGUGGGACGCCGGGCAUGUCUGCGGGUUUCCAUGCGAAAACGCUCACGUUGUCCCUUAGAAACCUGACGAGCGCGUCUUCCUAUUUUGGAUCCAGGUUAGCCCCGAUGAGGGCUGUCUUCUCGGGGUUGCCCUCGACCAGCUGCACUUCUUUGUACUCCUUGGAUUUCGAAUUCUUUCUGGCUGUCUCCUGCUCAGGUAAUCGGAGCUGGUCGGGGGGCAGCUGUGCGGCUUGGUUUGCUGUUUCCGCCAUGCGGAUUGAGAGGUCAAUUGCCUCGGUGAUCUUGAAACUUUCUUCUUCGCAGGUGUACGCAGUGUAGACGUUGCCUCUGACGGUCAGGACACCCUUCUCCGUGGGCAUCUUAAGCACUAGGUACGAGUAGUGCGGGACUGCCAUGAACUUUGUCAGCGAUGGGCGGCCCAGUAUGGCGUGGUAGGUCCCGUCGAAGUCCGCGACUACGAAGUUGAUGAACUCCGUCCGGAAGUGAUCGGGUGUGCCGAAUUGGACAGGCAAUGUUAUCUGUCCGAGGGGCACCGAACUUUGACCUGGCAAAACCCCCCAGAAUUGGGCGUCGUAAGGUUUUAGUUGGGCCGGUGAUAUCUUGAGGGCGGGCAGGCUGUUGCGGAAGAGGAUGUCAAUGGAGCUUCCCCCGUCCACGAGCACGCGCUCGAAUCUGAUGCUGUUGAUGCAAGGAUCGAGAAUUAGUGGGAAACGACCCGGCUCCGGGAUAGCGGCCCACUGGUCCUUCCUGCUGAACGCGAUCUCCCUAUGGGACCAGGCGGGAAAUUUCAGAUCUGCGAUCAGCCCGUCCGUGCUGUCUAUGUUGAGGCAGGCUCUCUUCAACAGCUUUCUUUCUCGCUUGGACUCAGUGGAGACCUUGCCCCCGAAAAUGGAGUGGACCACGUCGGUGGGGCUGACGUAUUGGUGUCGGGGGUCCCUGUCUUGGUCCUCGUCCUCAUCUUCGUGGUCGUGCCCGUCGCGUUUGUUACUUUUCUUGGCGGUGUCUUCUUGGGCGGCCCGCCGUGUAUAGAUAUUUUUGAGGACGCGGCACUCUUCCAUGGUAUGGUUAGACUUUGGAUGUAGCUGGCACGGUCCCUUCAACGUUUUGUUGUAGUCGUCUUGGUAGUCCCGUCGUCCAUUGGGACGUUUGACCGUGUUUACUUCGUGGUCGUAUUCGCGAGGGCGCUUUCCUCUGAAGUCGUCGCGGCUGUCGCGCCGCCGAUCCCAACCCUCUCGGUGAUCGCGGUUGUCGGAGCGACGGUGAUUUCUGUUGUCGUAGCGGCCGCGACCGUCGUCUCGCCGGGAGGGCUGGUCGGUGCCUCUCGCAUCGUCUCGGAUUAGUUUUUCUGCGUCAUCAGCAUCGGCAUAAUUUUUAGCCGUGGCGAGGAGCUCUGCUACUGUUGAUGGACGUUUACGCAACAGCUUGUUCCUCAGCGCUUCAUGGAAACGUAAGCCCUUGAUAAAGGCUGAUAUGGCCUCGUCAUGAGAAAUCUUCGGGAUUUUGAGACGCAUAUCCGAGAAUCGUCGGAUGUAAUCACGCAGAGGUUCAUUCUUCCUGUCUCUUAUCCUUUCAAGGUCAUACUUGUUUCCGGGCUGUUCGCAUGUGGCGAUGAAGUUGUCAAUGAAAGCCUGUCGUAGUUCUUCCCAAGAGUCGAAGGAGUCCUCGGGCAAGCCGAGAAGCCACUGAUGACCAGCCUGGUCGAGGACUACGGGGAAGUAGUUAGCCAUGACGUGCUCAUCUCCUGCCGCUGAUCGGACGGCGAUUUCGUAGAGGGUGAUCCAGUUCUCUGGAUUUUCCUUGCCGUCGUAUUUUUUAAGUUUUUCGAGCUUGAAAUUUCUGGGCCACACGACCUGGCGGAGGUGUGAGGAGAACUGCCUUAGGCCCGGGGGACCAUGGGUCGCAUCGUACUCGAUGCGGCGUAGGUUUUCGUGGACUGCUCUCUCUGCGGCGCGCCUGUUGAUGCGGUCCCGGGCAUCUUUGGGAGGGAUGUUGUGGCGGAGAUCCCUGUGUUGAUCUUCUUCUUCCUGGCCGCGUACGCGGUUCUGCUGGCGGCGGCCAUCGGCGUCUCGACCACCAUCGUCGCGCCGUGAGUCCCCUCGACGGUUGUCGGGGGAGCGCCUGCGGCGACGCCUGCUGGGCGAGGCCCGGCUACGAUGAGUCUGGUCGGAGGCGGCUUCCGUAUAAGGGACGUCCUGGACUCUCUUAAGCAGAGUUGCUGUCUGUCCCAUCGCGGCGAUCAGGUGUGCUCGGAUACUGGUCCGGACCCCCUGGCAUUCUGGUGUGUCAGGAAGCCGAUCCAGGUUGGCCAUGGCAACAGCCACGUUGGCGCUUGGCGUUUUGUAGACCGGCUGGUCCCCGACCAUGUCAAAGGCAUCGUUGAGGUUACCCGGUGGCGUCUGUUGUUGCUCGUCCGCACGCCGUCGGGCGCGAUCGGCGUUACGCUGUUCGCGGAGUUGCCUCUGGUCGUCUGUUUCUCCGUCAACAACCGGUUCGUCGGCGCUGACAUUGAAUACAAUAUCCCCUCGCCGGGGGGGGGGAAUAUCGGGAACCGGUCGAAACCCGGAGGGUGUGAAGGGAAAUCCAGGUCGUAGCCCUCGUCUUCGGUGUUUAUAACCUCGGUGGGGACGGAGCCGGUGCUUGAGUUGGUGCUGGAAACCUGGCCGUUCCGUAGCUCUCGGAUUGUCACCAUGUUGACAUGGUGACGAUUGUUCCUUGUCGGCGACCAGCCCGCUUUGCUGAAAACGGAUUGAACAUGCUGUGAGUAGACAGAGGCCGAGUUAUUCAGGCCGCAAGGAUGGUCUCCCUUUUUGAGCUCGACGGAUCGGCCUGAGGAGGUUGAGGUUAUCGCCAGGGACGUUCCCAGCCGUUCGUGUGUGGUGACACGAGUUGGCCGGCGGGAUUUCGAAAAAUCCGCUUGAGUGGCUUGGUCGGGCCGGCGCAGAAUUCCAUCUAUUAGUUGGGAGACUUCGAGCAGCUUGGAGUCGGCGCGAUCGAGCGCUUGGAGGAGGUCCGAGCAGUCGAUCUCCUUUCCCUUGUAGAGUGGGAACGGUGGCCGGGAGUUUGGUGCCGUCAUGCGUGUGGUCGGAGACGGCGUGAUCUCAGAUUGGAUCUGGAUCUCUUUCGGGACCGUGGUCGGGAAGCCGCCGCUGCACGUCGUCCACGUGAUCUGGCCGACGGUAAACGUGAGGCCUUCGGGCACGGUCGCGGAAGCUGGGAUCGUGACCAUCUUGUUCGCCGGAAAAGUUGCACGCACACCCCCUACCUGGCGCGCCACUGUCGACGAAAGCUGGUCGGCAGUCUACCUUGGGGUAUACCCACGGUAGUAGUUUAUCGGUAGACGGUGCGCAAACUACGAACUCGAUGGUGACGCAAGACACGGACAAGCUUUUUAUCCAGGUUCGGCCGCCGAGUUGGCGUAAUACCUACGUCCUGCGUCUGGUUGUAUUGGAUUGUGUUUAGAGAUAAUCUACCCUAGGGGGUCCCCUUGCCCCUCCUUAUAUAGUCUGGAGGGCAGGGUUACAGAUCUAGAAACUAAUCCUAGCCGGUUACAAUUGCCAUAGAUAAUUCGAUAUCAAUUCCUAUUCUAACCGACUAGAAUCCUGCUUGAUCUCCACGUCCUGUUUCCUUGCGCGAAACUCGGGCUAUCGGAUCAAGCCUUGAACUCGUCUCGUAGUGGGCCAAGCUUCCUAGCUGAAGUCUAGCCGUAAGGGUAUAGGGGUUUAUACCCCCACACCGUGCGUUCUCCUCCCCUUUAUGCCCGCGCCUCCGUGUACGGCCCGCCCAUAGCUCCUUCGACGGCGCCGCCUAGGAACGCGGAGAAAAUAUGACAAAGGAACGGCCAAAAAUAAAAAGAAAGACCUUUCUUUUGAAAAAACAAACAAAUAAAAGGAAUGCAACACGAGGACUUCCCAGGAGGUCACCCAUCCUAGUACUACUCUCGCCCAAGCACGCUUAACUUCGGAGUUCUGAUGGGAUCCGGUGCUUUAGUGCUGGUAUGAUCGCAUCCGACAUACCGUGCGUUCUCCUCCCCUUUAUGCCCGCGCCUCCGUGUACGGCCCGCCCAUAGCUCCUUCGACGGCGCCGCCUAGGAACGCGGAGAAAAUAUGACAAAGGAACGGCCAAAAAUAAAAAGAAAGACCUUUCUUUUGAAAAAACAAACAAAAAAAAGGAAUGCAACACGAGGACUUCCCAGGAGGUCACCCAUCCUAGUACUACUCUCGCCCAAGCACGCUUAACUUCGGAGUUCUGAUGGGAUCCGGUGCUUUAGUGCUGGUAUGAUCGCAUCCGACAUACCGUGCGUUCUCCUCCCCUUUAUGCCCGCGCCUCCGUGUACGGCCCGCCCAUAGCUCUUUCGACGGCGCCGCCUAGGAACGCGGAGAAAAUAUGACAAAGGAACGGCCAAAAAUAAAAGAAAGACCUUUCUUUUGAAAAAACAAACGCCUCCGUGUACGGCCCGCCCAUAGCUCCUCCGACGGCCCCGCCUAGGAACGCGAAGAAAAUAUGACAAAGGAACGCCCAAAAAUAAAAAGAAAGACCUUUCUUUUGAAAAAACAAACAUUAAAAAGGAAUGCAACACGAGGACUUCCCAGGAGGUCACCAAUCCUAGUACUACUCUCGCCCAAGCACGCUUAACUUCGAAGUUCUGAUGGGAUCCGGUGCUUUAGUGCUGGUAUGAUCGCAUCCGACAUACCGUGCGUUCUCCUCCCCUUUAUGCCCGCGCCUCCGUGUACGGCCCGCCCAUAGCUCCUUCGACGGCGCCGCCUAGGAACGCGGAGAAAAUAUGACAAAGGAACGGCCAAAAAUAAAAAGAAAGACCUUUCUUUUGAAAAAACAAACAAAAAAAAGGAAUGCAACACGAGGACUUCCCAGGAGGUCACCCAUCCUAGUACUACUCUCGCCCAAGCACGCUUAACUUCGGAGUUCUGAUGGGAUCCGGUGCUUUAGUGCUGGUAUGAUCGCAUCCGACAUACCGUGCGUUCUCCUCCCCUUUAUGCCCGCGCCUCCGUGUACGGCCCGCCCAUAGCUCCUUCGACGGCGCCGCCUAGGAACGCGGAGAAAAUAUGACAAAGGAACGGCCAAAAAUAAAAAGAAAGACCUUUCUUUUGAAAAAACAAACAAAAAAAAGGAAUGCAACACGAGGACUUCCCAGGAGGUCACCCAUCCUAGUACUACUCUCGCCCAAGCACGCUUAACUUCGGAGUUCUGAUGGGAUCCGGUGCUUUAGUGCUGGUAUGAUCGCAUCCGACAUACCGUGCGUUCUCCUCCCCUUUAUGCCCGCGCCUCCGUGUACGGCCCGCCCAUAGCUCCUUCGACGGCGCCGCCUAGGAACGCGGAGAAAAUAUGACAAAGGAACGGCCAAAAAUAAAAAGAAAGACCUUUCUUUUGAAAAAAAAAACAAAAAAAAGGAAUGCAACACGAGGACUUCCCAGGAGGUCACCCAUCCUAGUACUACUCUCGCCCAAGCACGCUUAACUUCGGAGUUCUGAUGGGAUCCGGUGCUUUAUUGCUGGUAUGAUCGCAUCCGACAUACCGUGCGUUCUCCUCCCCUUUAUGCCCGCACCUCCGUGUACGGCCCGCCCAUAGCUCCUUCGACGGCGCCGCCUAGGAACGCGGAGAAAAUAUGACAAAGGAACGGCCAAAAAUAAAAAGAAAGACCUUUCUUUUGAAAAAACAAACAAAAAAAAGGAAUGCAACACGAGGACUUCCCAGGAGGUCACCCAUCCUAGUACUACUCUCGCCCAAGCACGCUUAACUUCGGAGUUCUGAUGGGAUCCGGUGCUUUAGUGCUGGUAUGAUCGCAUCCGACAUACCGUGCGUUCUCCUCCCCUUUAUGCCCGCGCCUCCGUGUACGGCCCGCCCAUAGCUCCUUCGACGGCGCCGCCUAGGAACGCGGAGAAAAUAUGACAAAGGAACGGCCAAAAAUAAAAAGAAAGACCUUUCUUUUGAAAAAACAAACAAAUAAAAGGAAUGCAACACGAGGACUUCCCAGGAGGUCACCCAUCCUAGUACUACUCUCGCCCAAGCACGCUUAACUUCGAAGUUCUGAUGGGAUCCGGUGCUUUAGUGCUGGUAUGAUCGUAUCCGACAUACCGUGCGUUCUCCUCCCCUGAAUGCCCGCGCCUCCGUGUACGGCCCGCCCAGAGCUCUUUAGAUGGGACUUCCGAUGGAAUCGGAGACAAUAGGACAAAGGAACGGCCAAAAAUAAAAAGAAAGACCUUUCUUCCGAAAAAACAAACGCCUCCGUGUACGGCCCGCCCAUAGCUCCUUCGACGGCGCCGCCUAGGAACGCGGAGAAAAUAUGACAAAGGAACGGCCAAAAAUAAAAAGAAAGACCUUUCUUUUGAAAAAACAAACAAAAAAAAGGAAUGCAACACGAGGACUUCCCAGGAGGUCACCCAUCCUAGUACUACUCUCGCCCAAGCACGCUUAACUUCGGAGUUCUGAUGGGAUCCGGUGCUUUAGUGCUGGUAUGAUCGCAUCCGACAUACCGUGCGUUCUCCUCCCCUUUAUGCCCGCGCCUCCGUGUACGGCCCGCCCAUAGCUCCUUCGACGGCGCCGCCUAGGAACGCGGAGAAAAUAUGACAAAGGAACGGCCAAAAAUAAAAAGAAAGACCUUUCUUUUGAAAAAACAAACGCCUCCGUGUACGGCCCGCCCAUAGCUCCUUCGACGGCGCCGCCUAGGAACGCGGAGAAAAUAUGACAAAGGAACGGCCAAAAAUAAAAAGAAAGACCUUUCUUUUGAAAAAACAAACAAAAAAAAGGAAUGCAACACGAGGACUUCCCAGGAGGUCACCCAUCCUAGUACUACUCUCGCCCAAGCACGCUUAACUUCGGAGUUCUGAUGGGAUCCGGUGCUUUAGUGCUGGUAUGAUCGCAUCCGACAUACCGUGCGUUCUCCUCCCCUUUAUGCCCGCGCCUCCGUGUACGGCCCGCCCAUAGCUCCUUCGACGGCGCCGCCUAGGAACGCGGAGAAAAUAUGACAAAGGAACGGCCAAAAAUAAAAAGAAAGACCUUUCUUUUGAAAAAACAAACAAAAAAAAGGAAUGCAACACGAGGACUUCCCAGGAGGUCACCCAUCCUAGUACUACUCUCGCCCAAGCACGCUUAACUUCGGAGUUCUGAUGGGAUCCGGUGCUUUAGUGCUGGUAUGAUCGCAUCCGACAUACCGUGCGUUCUCCUCCCCUUUAUGCCCGCGCCUCCGUGUACGGCCCGCCCAUAGCUCCUUCGACGGCGCCGCCUAGGAACGCGGAGAAAAUAUGACAAAGGAACGGCCAAAAAUAAAAAGAAAGACCUUUCUUUUGAAAAAACAAACAAAUAAAAGGAAUGCAACACGAGGACUUCCCAGGAGGUCACCCAUCCUAGUACUACUCUCGCCCAAGCACGCUUAACUUCGGAGUUCUGAUGGGAUCCGGUGCUUUAGUGCUGGUAUGAUCGCAUCCGACAUACCGUGCGUUCUCCUCCCCUUUAUGCCCGCGCCUCCGUGUACGGCCCGCCCAUAGCUCCUUCGACGGCGCCGCCUAGGAACGCGGAGAAAAUAUGACAAAGGAACGGCCAAAAAUAAAAAGAAAGACCUUUCUUUUGAAAAAACAAACAAAUAAAAGGAAUGCAACACGAGGACUUCCCAGGAGGUCACCCAUCCUAGUACUACUCUCGCCCAAGCACGCUUAACUUCGGAGCUCUGAUGGGAUCCGGUGCUUUAGUGCUGGUAUGAUCGCAUCCGACAUACCGUGCGUUCUCCUCCCCUUUAUGCCCGCGCCUCCGUGUACGGCCCGCCCAUAGCUCCUUCGACGGCGCCGCCUAGGAACGCGGAGAAAAUAUGACAAAGGAACGGCCAAAAAUAAAAAGAAAGACCUUUCUUUUGAAAAAACAAACAAAAAAAAGGAAUGCAACACGAGGACUUCCCAGGAGGUCACCCAUCCUAGUACUACUCUCGCCCAAGCACGCUUAACUUCGGAGUUCUGAUGGGAUCCGGUGCUUUAGUGCUGGUAUGAUCGCAUCCGACAUACCGUGCGUUCUCCUCCCCUUUAUGCCCGCGCCUCCGUGUACGGCCCGCCCAUAGCUCCUUCGACGGCGCCGCCUAGGAACGCGGAGAAAAUAUGACAAAGGAACGGCCAAAAAUAAAAAGAAAGACCUUUCUUUUGAAAAAACAAACAAAAAAAAGGAAUGCAACACGAGGACUUCCCAGGAGGUCACCCAUCCUAGUACUACUCUCGCCCAAGCACGCUUAACUUCGGAGUUCUGAUGGGAUCCGGUGCUUUAGUGCUGGUAUGAUCACAUCCGACAUACCGUGCGUUCUCCUCCCCUUUAUGCCCGCGCCUCCGUGUACGGCCCGCCCAUAGCUCCUUCGACGGCGCCGCCUAGGAACGCGGAGAAAAUAUGACAAAGGAACGGCCAAAAAUAAAAAGAAAGACCUUUCUUUUGAAAAAACAAACAAAAAAAAGGAAUGCAACACGAGGACUUCCCAGGAGGUCACCCAUUCUAGUACUACUCUCGCCCAAGCAAGCUUAACUUCGGAGUUCUGAUGGGAUCCGGUGCUUUAGUGCUGGUAUGAUCGCAUCCGACAUACCGUGCGUUCUCCUCCCCUUUAUGCCCGCGCCUCCGUGUACGGCCCGCCCAUAGCUCCUUCGACGGCGCCGCCUAGGAACGCGGAGAAAAUAUGACAAAGGAACGGCCAAAAAUAAAAAGAAAGACCUUUCUUUUGAAAAAACAAACAAAAAAAAGGAAUGCAACACGAGGACUUCCCAAAAUAUGACAAAGGAACGGCCAAAAAUAAAAAGAAAGACCUUUCUUUUGAAAAAACAAACAAAAAAAAGGAAUGCAACACGAGGACUUCCCAGGAGGUCACCCAUUCUAGUACUACUCUCGCCCAAGCAAGCUUAACUUCGGAGUUCUGAUGGGAUCCGGUGCUUUAGUGCUCGUAUGAUCGCAUCCGACAUACCGUGCGUUCUCCUCCCCUUUAUGCCCGCGCCUCCGUGUACGGCCCGCCCAUAGCUCCUUCGACGGCGCCGCCUAUGAACGCGGAGAAAAUAUGACAAAGGAACGGCCAAAAAUAAAAAGAAAGACCUUUCUUUUGAAAAAACAAACAAAAAAAAGGAAUGCAACACGAGGACUUCCCAGGAGGUCACCCAUCCUAGUACUACUCUCGCCCAAGCACGCUUAACUUCGGAGUUCUGAUGGGAUCCGGUGCUUUAGUGCUGGUAUGAUCGCAUCCGACAUACCGUGCGUUCUCCUCCCCUUUAUGCCCGCGCCUCCGUGUACGGCCCGCCCAUAGCUCCUUCGACGGCGCCGCCUAGGAACGCGGAGAAAAUAUGACAAAGGAACGGCCAAAAAUAAAAAGAAAGACCUUUCUUUUGAAAAAACAAACAAAAAAAAGGAAUGCAACACGAGGACUUCCCAGGAGGUCACCCAUCCUAGUACUACUCUCGCCCAAGCACGCUUAACUUCGGAGUUCUGAUGGGAUCCGGUGCUUUAGUGCUGGUAUGAUCGCAUCCGACAUACCGUGCGUUCUCCUCCCCUUUAUGCCCGCGCCUCCGUGUACGGCCCGCCCAUAGCUCCUUCGACGGCGCCGCCUAGGAACGCGGAGAAAAUAUGACAAAGGAACGGCCAAAAAUAACAAGAAAGACCUUUCUUUUGAAAAAACAAACAAAAAAAAGGAAUGCAACACGAGGACUUCCCAGGAGGUCACCAAUCCUAGUACUACUCUCGCCCAAGCACGCUUAACUUCGGAGUUCUGAUGGGAUCCGGUGCUUUAGUGCUGGUAUGAUCGCAUCCGACAUACCGUGCGUUCUCCUCCCCUUUAUGCCCGCGCCUCCGUGUACGGCCCGCCCAUAGCUCCUUCGACGGCGCCGCCUAGGAACGCGGAGAAAAUAUGACAAAGGAACGGCCAAAAAUAAAAAGAAAGACCUUUCUUUUGAAAAAACAAACAAAUAAAAGGAAUGCAACACGAGGACUUCCCAGGAGGUCACCCAUCCUAGUACUACUCUCGCCCAAGCACGCUUAACUUCGGAGUUCUGAUGGGAUCCGGUGCUUUAGUGCUGGUAUGAUCGCAUCCGACAUACCGUGCGUUCUCCUCCCCUUUAUGCCCGCGCCUCCGUGUACGGCCCGCCCAUAGCUCCUUCGACGGCGCCGCCUAGGAACGCGGAGAAAAUAUGACAAAGGAACGGCCAAAAAUAAAAAGAAAGACCUUUCUUUUGAAAAAACAAACAAAAAAAAGGAAUGCAACACGAGGACUUCCCAGGAGGUCACCCAUCCUAGUACUACUCUCGCCCAAGCACGCUUAACUUCGGAGUUCUGAUGGGAUCCGGUGCUUUAGUGCUGGUAUGAUCGCAUCCGACAUACCGUGCGUUCUCCUCCCCUUUAUGCCCGCGCCUCCGUGUACGGCCCGCCCAUAGCUCCUUCGACGGCGCCGCCUAGGAACGCGGAGAAAAUAUGACAAAGGAACGGCCAAAAAUAAAAAGAAAGACCUUUCUUUUGAAAAAACAAACAAAAAAAAGGAAUGCAACACGAGGACUUCCCAGGAGGUCACCCAUCCUAGUACUACUCUCGCCCAAGCACGCUUAACUUCGGAGUUCUGAUGGGAUCCGGUGCUUUAGUGCUGGUAUGAUCGCAUCCGACAUACCGUGCGUUCUCCUCCCCUUUAUGCCCGCGCCUCCGUGUACGGCCCGCCCAUAGCUCCUUCGACGGCGCCGCCUAGGAACGCGGAGAAAAUAUGACAAAGGAACGGCCAAAAAUAAAAAGAAAGACCUUUCUUUUGAAAAAACAAACGCCUCCGUGUACGGCCCGCCCAUAGCUCCUUCGACGGCGCCGCCUAGGAACGCGGAGAAAAUAUGACAAAGGAACGGCCAAAAAUAAAAAGAAAGACCUUUCUUUUGAAAAAACAAACAAAAAAAAGGAAUGCAACACGAGGACUUCCCAGGAGGUCACCCAUCCUAGUACUACUCUCGCCCAAGCACGCUUAACUUCGGAGUUCUGAUGGGAUCCGGUGCUUUAGUGCUGGUAUGAUCGCAUCCGACAUACCGUGCGUUCUCCUCCCCUUUAUGCCCGCGCCUCCGUGUACGGCCCGCCCAUAGCUCCUUCGACGGCGCCGCCUAGGAACGCGGAGAAAAUAUGACAAAGGAACGGCCAAAAAUAAAAAGAAAGACCUUUCUUUUGAAAAAACAAACAAAAAAAAGGAAUGCAACACGAGGACUUCCCAGGAGGUCACCCAUCCUAGUACUACUCUCGCCCAAGCACGCUUAACUUCGGAGUUCUGAUGGGAUCCGGUGCUUUAGUGCUGGUAUGAUCGCAUCCGACAUACCGUGCGUUCUCCUCCCCUUUAUGCCCGCGCCUCCGUGUACGGCCCGCCCAUAGCUCCUUCGACGGCGCCGCCUAGGAACGCGGAGAAAAUAUGACAAAGGAACGGCCCAAAAUAAAAAGAAAGACCUUUCUUUUGAAAAAACAAACAAAAAAAAGGGAAUGCAACACGAGGACUUCCCAGGAGGUCACCCAUCCUAGUACUACUCUCGCCCAAGCACGCUUAACUUCGGAGUUCUGAUGGGAUCCGGUGCUUUAGUGCUGGUAUGAUCGCAUCCGACAUACCGUGCGUUCUCCUCCCCUUUAUGCCCGCGCCUCCGUGUACGGCCCGCCCAUAGCUCCUUCGACGGCGCCGCCUAGGAACGCGGAGAAAAUAUGACAAAGGAACGACCAAAAAUAAAAAGAAAGACCUUUCUUUUGAAAAAACAAACAAAAAAAAGGAAUGCAACACGAGGACUUCCCAGGAGGUCACCCAUCCUAGUACUACUCUCGCCCAAGCACGCUUAACUUCGGAGUUCUGAUGGGAUCCGGUGCUUUAGUGCUGGUAUGAUCGCAUCCGACAUACCGUGCGUUCUCCUCCCCUUUAUGCCCGCGCCUCCGUGUACGGCCCGCCCAUAGCUCCUUCGACGGCGCCGCCUAGGAACGCGGAGAAAAUAUGACAAAGGAACGGCCAAAAAUAAAAAGAAAGACCUUUCUUUUGAAAAAACAAACAAAAAAAAGGAAUGCAACACGAGGACUUCCCAGGAGGUCACCCAUCCUAGUACUACUCUCGCCCAAGCACGCUUAACUUCGGAGUUCUGAUGGGAUCCGGUGCUUUAGUGCUGGUAUGAUCGCAUCCGACAUACCGUGCGUUCUCCUCCCCUUUAUGCCCGCGCCUCCGUGUACGGCCCGCCCAUAGCUCCUUCGACGGCGCCGCCUAGGAACGCGGAGAAAAUAUGACAAAGGAACGGCCAAAAAUAAAAAGAAAGACCUUUCUUUUGAAAAAACAAACAAAAAAAAGGAAUGCAACACGAAGACUUCCCAGGAGGUCACCCAUCCUAGUACUACUCUCGCCCAAGCACGCUUAACUUCGGAGUUCUGAUGGGAUCCGGUGCUUUAGUGCUGGUAUGAUCGCAUCCGACAUACCGUGCGUUCUCCUCCCCUUUAUGCCCGCGCCUCCGUGUACGGCCCGCCCAUAGCUCCUUCGACGGCGCCGCCUAGGAACGCGGAGAAAAUAUGACAAAGGAACGGCCAAAAAUAAAAAGAAAGACCUUUCUUUUGAAAAAACAAACAAAAAAAAGGAAUGCAACACGAGGACUUCCCAGGAGGUCACCCAUCCUAGUACUACUCUCGCCCAAGCACGCUUAACUUCGGAGUUCUGAUGGGAUCCGGUGCUUUAGUGCUGGUAUGAUCGCAUCCGACAUACCGUGCGUUCUCCUCCCCUUUAUGCCCGCGCCUCCGUGUACGGCCCGCCCAUAGCUCCUUCGACGGCGCCGCCUAGGAACGCGGAGAAAAUAUGACAAAGGAACGGCCAAAAAUAAAAAGAAAGACCUUUCUUUUGAAAAAACAAACAAAAAAAAGGAAUGCAACACGAGGACUUCCCAGGAGGUCACCCAUCCUAGUACUACUCUCGCCCAAGCACGCUUAACUUCGGAGUUCUGAUGGGAUCCGGUGCUUUAGUGCUGGUAUGAUCGCAUCCGACAUACCGUGCGUUCUCCUCCCCUUUAUGCCCGCGCCUCCGUGUACGGCCCGCCCAUAGCUCCUUCGACGGCGCCGCCUAGGAACGCGGAGAAAAUAUGACAAAGGAACGGCCAAAAAUAAAAAGAAAGACCUUUCUUUUGAAAAAACAAACAAAAAAAAGGAAUGCAACACGAGGACUUCCCAGGAGGUCACCCAUCCUAGUACUACUCUCGCCCAAGCACGCUUAACUUCGGAGUUCUGAUGGGAUCCGGUGCUUUAGUGCUGGUAUGAUCGCAUCCGACAUACCGUGCGUUCUCCUCCCCUUUAUGCCCGCGCCUCCGUGUACGGCCCGCCCAUAGCUCCUUCGACGGCGCCGCCUAGGAACGCGGAGAAAAUAUGACAAAGGAACGGCCAAAAAUAAAAAGAAAGACCUUUCUUUUGAAAAAACAAACAAAAAAAAGGAAUGCAACACGAGGACUUCCCAGGAGGUCACCCAUCCUAGUACUACUCUCGCCCAAGCACGCUUAACUUCGGAGUUCUGAUGGGAUCCGGUGCUUUAGUGCUGGUAUGAUCGCAUCCGACAUACCGUGCGUUCUCCUCCCCUUUAUGCCCGCGCCUCCGUGUACGGUCCGCCCAUAGCUCCUUCGACGGCGCCGCCUAGGAACGCGGAGAAAAUAUGACAAAGGAACGGCCAAAAAUAAAAAGAAAGUCCUUUCUUUUGAAAAAACAAACAAAAAAAAGGUAUGCAACACGAGGACUUCCUAGGAGGUCACCCAUCCUAGUACUACUCUCGCCCAAGCACGCUUAACUUCGGAGUUCUGAUGGGAUCCGGUGCUUUAGUGCUGGUAUGAUCGCAUCCGACAUACCGUGCGUUCUCCUCCCCUUUAUGCCCGCGCCUCCGUGUACGGCCCGCCCAUAGCUCCUUCGACGGCGCCGCCUAGGAACGCGGAGAAAAUAUGACAAAGGAACGGCCAAAAAUAAAAAGAAAGACCUUUCUUUUGAAAAAACAAACAAAAAAAAGGAAUGCAACACGAGGACUUCCCAGGAGGUCACCCAUCCUAGUACUACUCUCGCCCAAGCACGCUUAACUUCGGAGUUCUGAUGGGAUCCGGUGCUUUAGUGCUGGUAUGAUCGCAUCCGACAUACCGUGCGUUCUCCUCCCCUUUAUGCCCGCGCCUCCGUGUACGGCCCGCCCAUAGCUCCUUCGACGGCGCCGCCUAGGAACGCGGAGAAAAUAUGACAAAGGAACGGCCAAAAAUAAAAAGAAAGACCUUUCUUUGAAAAAACAAAGAAAUAAAAGGAAUGCAACACGAGGACUUCCCAGGAGGUCACCCAUCCUAGUACUACUCUCGCCCAAGCACGCUUAACUUCGGAGUUCUGAUGGGAUCCGGUGCUUUAGUGCUGGUAUGAUCGCAUUCGACAUACCGUGCGUUCUCCUCCCCUUUAUGCCCGCGCCUCCGUGUACGGCCCGCCCAUAGCUCCUUCGACGGCGCCGCCUAGGAACGCGGAGAAAAUAUGACAAAGGAACGGCCAAAAAUAAAAAGAAAGACCUUUCUUUUGAAAAAACAAACAAAUAAAAGGAAUGCAACACGAGGACUUCCCAGGAGGUCACCCAUCCUAGUACUACUCUCGCCCAAGCACGCUUAACUUCGGAGUUCUGAUGGGAUCCGGUGCUUUAGUGCUGGUAUGAUCGCAUCCGACAUACCGUGCGUUCUCCUCCCCUUUAUGCCCGCGCCUCCGUGUACGGCCCGCCCAUAGCUCCUUCGACGGCGCCGCCUAGGAACGCGGAGAAAAUAUGACAAAGGAACGGCCAAAAAUAAAAAGAAAGACCUUUCUUUUGAAAAAACAAACGCCUCCGUGUACGGCCCGCCCAUAGCUCCUUCGACGGCGCCGCCUAGGAACGCGGAGAAAAUAUGACAAAGGAACGGCCAAAAAUAAAAAGAAAGACCUUUCUUUUGAAAAAACAAACAAAAAAAAGGAAUGCAACACGAGGACUUCCCAGGAGGUCACCCAUCCUAUUACUACUCUCGCCCAAGCACGCUUAACUUCGGAGUUCUGAUGGGAUCCGGUGCUUUAGUGCUGGUAUGAUCGCAUCCGACAUACCGUGCGUUCUCCUCCCCUUUAUGCCCGCGCCUCCGUGUAC
rnacentral:lncRNA from 1 species